rnacentral:rRNA from 1 species
GUGCCAGCCGCCGCGGUAAUACCGGCAGCCCGAGUGAUGGCCGAUCUUAUUGGGCCUAAAGCGUCCGUAGCCGGCCGAGCGGGUCCGUCGGGAAAUCCACGUGCUCAACGCGUGGGCGUCCGGCGGAAACCACUCGGCUUGGGGCCGGAAGACUCGAGGGGUACGUCUGGGGUAGGAGUGAAAUCCCGUAAUCCUGGACGGACCGCCGAUGGCGAAAGCACUUCGAGAAAACGGAUCCGACAGUGAGGGACGAAAGCCAGGGUCUCCAACCGGAUUAGAUACCCUAGUAGUCC